UGGGGAAUAUUGCACAAUGGGCGCAAGCCUGAUGCAGCGACGCCGCGUGAGGGAUGACGGCCUUCGGGUUGUAAACCUCUUUCAAUAGGGACGAAGCGCAAGUGACGGUACCUAUAGAAGAAGGACCGGCCAACUACGUGCCAGCAGCCGCGGUAAUACGUAGGGUCCGAGCGUUGUCCGGAAUUACUGGGCGUAAAGAGCUCGUAGGUGGUUUGUCGCGUUGUUCGUGAAAACUCACAGCUUAACUGUGGGCGUGCGGGUGAUACGGGCAGACUAGAGUACUGCAGGGGAGACUGGAAUUCCUGGUGUAGCGGUGGAAUGCGCAGAUAUCAGGAGGAACACCGGUGGCGAAGGCGGGUCUCUGGGCAGUAACUGACGCUGAGGAGCGAAAGCGUGGGGAGCGAACA
rnacentral:rRNA from 1 species